rnacentral:rRNA from 1 species
UACGAAGGGGGCGAGCGUUGUUCGGAUUUACUGGGCGUAAAGGGCGCGCAGGCGGCUCAUUUUGUCAGGCGUGAAAGCCCCGGGCUUAACCUGGGAACUGCGUUUGAUACGGAUGGGCUAGAGUUCGGGAGAGGAGCGUGGAAUUCCCAGUGUAGAGGUGAAAUUCGUAGAUAUUGGGAAGAACACCGGUGGCGAAGGCGGCGCUCUGGACCGAGACUGACGCUGAGGCGCGAAAGCGUGGGGAGCAAACAGG